AACGAACGCUGGCGGCAUGCCUAACACAUGCAAGUCGAACGAGACCUUCGGGUCUAGUGGCGCACGGGUGCGUAACGCGUGGGAACCUGCCCUUAGGUUCGGAAUAACUCCCCGAAAGGGGUGCUAAUACCGGAUAAUGUCUUCGGACCAAAGAUUUAUCGCCUUUGGAUGGGCCCGCGUUGGAUUAGCUAGUUGGUAGGGUAAAAGCCUGCCAAGGCGACGAUCCAUAGCUGGUCUGAGAGGAUGAUCAGCCACACUUGGACUGAGACACGGCCCAGACUCCUACGGGAGGCAGCAGUGGGGAAUAUUGGACAAUGGGCGAAAGCCUGAUCAAGCAAUGCCGCGUGAGUGAUGAAGGCCUUAGGGUUGUAAAGCUCUUUUACCCGGGAUGAUAAUGACAGUACCGGGAGAAUAAGCACCGGCUAACUCCGUG
rnacentral:rRNA from 1 species